rnacentral:ncRNA from 1 species
CAAAUAGAGGCGCAAGGACUAUGAAUUCAAUAUUGUCAAUGGGUGCAUCCAGAUAUUGAAAGAGGAGGAUUGCCGAAGGAGUCAGCAAUUGCACGUACUGACUUACUGGUGUAAGGGAGAAGAUGUCUUACACUGUCACAAGAUAUAUACUUGUGGAGAGCUAUUGAAU